UGUCCAGUGUGUCGCUAGAUGGUGUCGGUAUUGUUUUUAAAAUGGCGAAAUGUGUGAAGAGUUUUGUCAUCUUCUGUUUUCGAAUUUUCCUGUUUUACUGCCCAAAAUCAACCAAUUUACCUAAAAUGUACCUGCCGUCUAGUCAUCAGAUUAAAUUUGGACUCCAUUUAAAAAACCAAUUGCUCAACCCUUCUAUGACUCACACGCUCAGCAUCAUCUGCAUCAUCCUCUCACAUCUUAGACAAAACUGCAAGCUGUUAUGCCCAAAAGUUGUGGCAUUACAUAUACGAUUACAGGUUCCUUCUUGCCUGAAAGAUGUUUACACCUUUAAACACUUUUGGUGGGGUUGUUGCGUCAUGAAAUUGUAUUGCUGCCAUUCCCCGCAUCUCCCACUUCAUAGCUACAAGAAACGAGCCUACAACAGAAAAAAGCCUACAACAGAUUGAGGAAUUCAUAGGUUGUGUGGUAUGUCAAUGGAUUCAUUGGAUUUCGCGAGCAGCCGCCGAUGUCAAUCUACAACGCAGUUUCUUUAUUGGAAUUGUGUGGUCCUGGCACAGAGAUCCUUGAUGCUGGCCUUUGUCCAUUACAGAAGAGUGACUUCUACCAACUCUCUGCUCCAUCCUUAUCUUCGCUUCCCACACUCAUCUAGCUUCUCUGCUUAUUAUGCUGCUAAACAAUUUGUCGUACUUCACUGACGAGUUAGACCAGUCGCUUCCGUCGGCCUGUCACUCUCCACGGAUUUAUGCCCAGGUAAUGCAGAUGAGACGUCGAGAAGAUGGAAUUCCGAGACUCGUCAUCAACGUGGAUCAUCGUGUUAUUGGUAUUAUUUCGUUAUGUGUUAGUUAACCCGUUGUCUGCCACGCCUUUGUUCUCCCCUAGCUCCUUAGCACGGGCCGCGCUGUUCGGUCUCGUGGUUUACAAGCCGCGGGGUCGGAGAGUCGCCAAGCCCAAAAUCU